rnacentral:rRNA from 1 species
UACGUAGGGCGCAAGCGUUGUCCGGAAUUAUUGGGCGUAAAGAGCUCGUAGGCGGUUUGUCGCGUCUGCUGUGAAAACCUAAGGCUCAACCUUGGGCUUGCAGUGGGUACGGGCAGACUAGAGUGCGGUAGGGGUGACUGGAAUUCCUGGUGUAGCGGUGGAAUGCGCAGAUAUCGAGAGGAACACCUGCGGCGAAGGCGGGUUGCUGGGCCGACACUGACGCUGAGGCGCGAAAGCCAGGGGAGCGAACGGG